rnacentral:tRNA from 1 species
AAGGUAAAUUAAUUUUAAAGCUUCUAACUUUAUUAAAGCACUAAACAAAGUGUUUUACCUUU